rnacentral:rRNA from 1 species
GUCAGGCUUUCGCCCAUUGCGCAAGAUUCCCCACUGCUGCCUCCCGUAGGAGUUUGGGCCGUGNCUCAGUCCCAAUGUGGCUGGUCAUCCNCUCAGACCAGCUACUGAUCGUCGCCUUGGUGAGCCAUUACCUCACCAACUAGCUAAUCAGACGCGGGCCGCUCCAAUGGCGAUAAAUCUUUCCCCCGAAGGGCACAUACGGUAUUAGCUCAAGUUUCCCUGAGUUAUUCCGUACCAAAGGGCACGUUCCCACGUGUUACUCACCCGUCCGCCACUAACCCCGAAGGGUUCGUUCGACUUGCAUGUGUUAGGCCUGCCGCCAGCGUUCGCNCUGAGCCAGAAUCAAACUC